rnacentral:rRNA from 1 species
AGAGUUUGAUCCUGGCUCAGAAUCAACGCUGGCGGCGUGCCUAACACAUGCAAGUCGCACGAGAAAGGGCUUCGGCCUGAGUAAAGUGGCGCACGGGUGAGUAACACGUGACUAACCUACCCUCGAGUGGGGAAUAACCUAGGGAAACCUGGGCUAAUACCGCAUAACACUUACGAGUCAAAGCAGCAAUGCGCUUGAGGAGGGGGUCGCGGCAGAUUAGCUAGUUGGCGGGGUAAUGGCCCACCAAGGCGAUGAUCUGUAUCCGGCCUGAGAGGGCGCACGGACACACUGGAACUGAAACACGGUCCAGACUCCUACGGGAGGCAGCAGUGGGGAAUUUUGCGCAAUGGGGAAACCCUGACGCAGCAACGCCGCGUGGAGGAUGAAGUCUCUUGGGACGUAAACUCCUUUCGAUAGGGACGAUAAUGACGGUACCUAUAGAAGAAGCCCCGGCUAACUUCGUGCCAGCAGCCGCGGUAAUACGAGGGGGGCAAGCGUUGUUCGGAAUUAUUGGGCGUAAAGGGCGCGUAGGCGGUUUGGCAAGUUUGGUGUGAAAUCUUCGGGCUCAACUCGAAGUCUGCACCGAAAACUGCCGGGCUUGAGUAUGGGAGAGGUGAGUGGAAUUUCCGGUGUAGCGGUGAAAUGCGUAGAUAUCGGAAGGAACACCUGUGGCGAAAGCGGCUCACUGGACCAUUACUGACGCUGAGGCGCGAAAGCUAGGGGAGCAAACAGGAUUAGAUACCCUAGUAGUCC